rnacentral:rRNA from 1 species
CGUAGGGUGCGAGCGUUGUCCGGAAUUAUUGGGCGUAAAGGGCUCGUAGGCGGUUUGUCGCGUCGGGAGUGAAACACCGGGCUUAACUCGGUGCUGGCUUUCGAUACGGGCAGACUAGAGGUAUUCAGGGGAGAACGGAAUUCCUGGUGUAGCGGUGAAAUGCGCAGAUAUCAGGAGGAACACCGGUGGCGAAGGCGGUUCUCUGGGAAUGUCCUGACGCUGAGGAGCGAAAGUGUGGGGAGCGAACAGGAUU